rnacentral:tRNA from 1 species
GCAAGAGUGGCGAAAUUGGCAGACGCGCUGGACUUAGGAUCCAGUCCUUUCGGGGGUGGGGGUUCAAGUCCCUCCUCUUGCACCA